CAGCACCUCAAGUGGUCAGGAUGAUUAUUGGGCCUAAAGCAUCCGUAGCCGGCGCUGUAAGUUUUCGGUUAAAUCUGUACGCUCAACGUACAGGCUGCCGGGAAUACUGCAGCGCUAGGGAGUGGGAGAGGUAGACGGUACUCGGUAGGAAGGGGUAAAAUCCUUUGAUCUAUUGAUGACCACCUGUGGCGAAGGCGGUCUACCAGAACACGUCCGACGGUGAGGGAUGAAAGCUGGGGGAGCAAACCGGAUUAGAUACCCGCGUAGUC
rnacentral:rRNA from 1 species